ACAGGUGAGCAAAGCCAUUUGCAUGACAGCAAGAUGUUGCCAAGGAAGACGGAAGAUAGAAGCAACUGCCUACCUUGCCAACCACGUGCCUUCACAGAGAAGGUGACGUCGUUGCUGGGUCUUGAAAGAUGAAGAAAACUGAGCCCCGGAGAGCCUGAGCCACAUGCCCAGUGUCUCAAGUGAGAAAACGGUGGGCUGGAAUCCAAACCUGGAGGUGGGCAGCUGGCCAUGGUGCCUCCGCAUACGAUGCAACACUGAGGUGCAGAGAUGCCAAGGCACGUCUCCAAGGUCUCAAGCCAGGAAGUGUUGGAGCUGGGGUUCACGCCCAACAGGGGACCUGGGGACCCAGCGUGGGUACUGCCGUGUCCUCACCAGGAGCUUGGCGGGAGAAGUUUCCAUUCUGUCCCGGCCUGGUGCGCAGGGAUCUGGGCUCACACAGUGGACCCAGUACACACCCUGAAGCCAGGGACACCAUCUACAGGACCUGCAGCAUCCAGA